rnacentral:rRNA from 1 species
CACGUAGGGGACGAGCGUUGUCCGGAUUCAUUGGGCGUAAAGCGCGUGUAGGCGGGAUGGCAAGUCGGGUGUGAAAGCCCUCAGCUCAACUGAGGAAGUGCGCCCGAAACUACUGUUCUUGAGUGUCGGAGAGGGUGGCGGAAUUCCCGGUGUAGAGGUGAAAUUCGUAGAUAUCGGGAGGAACACCAGAGGCGAAGGCGGCCACCUGGACGAACACUGACGCUGAGACGCGAAAGCGUGGGGAGCAAACAGG